rnacentral:lncRNA from 1 species
CUUCUGUUCCUUUAACUUGGCUUUCUGAAGAAUCAUGACUCUGCCCACCUUCCGUGGCUUUGCCCUGGUGCCAGGCAUUGGAGUCAAGGUCCAAUAAAUGCAGUCUCAUUUAGUUCUCAUGAUGGUCCUGCAUGGGAGGUUCACUUAUCAUUUUCAGUUUGCAGACUAAGGAAUUAAGGCUCAGAGAUAUUCAGUAAUGACUGAAGGUCAAACAGCCAGAGCAGAUCUUGACCUUGGGUCUAACAUGAAGCCACCUGCUUAUUCUCUUGCUUGAGCUCUCCAGUGGAUGCUGGGCUGCACCUGGGCCGCCUCUGCUGCACCUACCCUUGCCAACUGCACACCUGGACCCACGAAGCUGUGCCCAGCAGACCCAUCUUGAAAGUGCUUUUUCUGAAAGUCAGUGAACCCCGGCUUGUUUCAUGUGUCAGGAGAUAGCAUCUUUUCUCCAACAGGCUUUGAAGAGAUGCUCCCUGUAGACCCAACAGAGCAGCAGCCCACUGGUUCCUACAGCUGGAUGAUGCCACCUGCUCAGGCCAGGGUCUCAGGGUUCCUCACUGGCCCCUUCCAAUAGCCACAUCCUUCCCAGAAAGAGAGGGGCCUGUCAGCCCUGGGGUCCUCUGUCCAGAGCUGGGGCUCUUCCUUCUGCCCAGGCACUGGGAACUGGGAUGCUGGGAUUCCAACCCAGAAGCUUGAAGCCCACUCUCUGGCCCAUCUUCCCAACAUCCACUGCCCUGGCCUUGUGCUAUCCCUCAAACCCAAGGGCAAGAGGCAGCUUACCUGGAGGGUGUGGCCAGGAGUCCAGCCAGCCUCACUUGCCUUCCCAGGGCUGUAUCUGUGAAUGAAGAAUAGAAGUAUUUCUGUUUAGCAGACUGCCAGCUUGAUGGGUCACUCUAAAGACUUCAUGUGUGGCAAGCAGCCCCUCCCUGAGCCCCCUGCCUGGAGCUGUGAAGGCUGGAGCAGGCCUGUCUACACCUCCUCCCUGGGCUGACUGGUGAGCCCAGCCUCCAGUGCAAAUGGAUUUUUCUUCUCCUAGGAGUCUGAAGGGACAGGGAAUCAUUUUAGGAUCUGUACAUAGUGAGCAGAGUCCCUUCUCCCUCUCAUAAUAAAGCAACCACAGAAGAGAAAUGAGUCACACUGUUAUGGAAGCUGAAGAUGAUGAAGAGCCAUGUCCAGAGCUCACAGGGC